rnacentral:rRNA from 1 species
GUAGGGAAUCUUGCGCAAUGGGCGAAAGCCUGACGCAGCGACGCCGCGUGGGGGAUGAAGGCCUUCGGGUUGUAAACCCCUUUCAUGAGGGAAGAACACUGACUUAACCUCAAGAAGAAGCACCGGCUAACUCCGUGCCAGCAGCUGCGGUAAUACGGAGAGUGCGAACGUUGUUCGGAUUUACUGGGCGUAAAGGGCACGUAGGCGGCCCGGCAAAUCAGUCGUGGAAUUCCGCCGCUCACCGGCGGAACGGCGGCUGAAAAUACCGGGCUAGAGGGCGUGAGGGGUCGCUGGAACUCCUGGUGAAGCGGUGAAAUGCGUAGAUAUCAGGAGGAACGCCGGAGGCGAAAGCGAGCGACUGGCGCGUUCCUGACGCUGAGGUGCGAAAGCCAGGGGAGCAAACAGGAUUAGAAACCCCUGUAGUCC